rnacentral:rRNA from 1 species
GAUGAACGCUAGCUACAGGCUUAACACAUGCAAGUCGAGGGGCAGCAUGGUCUUAGCUUGCUAAGGCCGAUGGCGACCGGCGCACGGGUGAGUAACACGUAUCCAACCUGCCGUCUACUCUUGGACAGCCUUCUGAAAGGAAGAUUAAUACAAGAUGGCAUCAUGAGUCCACAUGUUCACAUGAUUAAAGGUAUUCCGGUAGACGAUGGGGAUGCGUUCCAUUAGAUAGUAGGCGGGGUAACGGCCCACCUAGUCUUCGAUGGAUAGGGGUUCUGAGAGGAAGGUCCCCCACAUUGGAACUGAGACACGGUCCAAACUCCUACGGGAGGCAGCAGUGAGGAAUAUUGGUCAAUGGGCGAGAGCCUGAACCAGCCAAGUAGCGUGAAGGAUGACUGCCCUAUGGGUUGUAAACUUCUUUUAUAAAGGAAUAAAGUCGGGUAUGGAUACCCGUUUGCAUGUACUUUAUGAAUAAGGAUCGGCUAACUCCGUGCCAGCAGCCGCGGUAAUACGGAGGAUCCGAGCGUUAUCCGGAUUUAUUGGGUUUAAAGGGAGCGUAGAUGGAUGUUUAAGUCAGUUGUGAAAGUUUGCGGCUCAACCGUAAAAUUGCAGUUGAUACUGGAUAUCUUGAGUGCAGUUGAGGCAGGCGGAAUUCGUGGUGUAGCGGUGAAAUGCUUAGAUAUCACGAAGAACUCCGAUUGCGAAGGCAGCCUGCUAAGCUGCAACUGACAUUGAGGCUCGAAAGUGUGGGUAUCAAACAGGAUUAGAUACCCUGGUAGUCCACACGGUAAACGAUGAAUACUCGCUGUUUGCGAUAUACAGCAAGCGGCCAAGCGAAAGCGUUAAGUAUUCCACCUGGGGAGUACGCCGGCAACGGUGAAACUCAAAGGAAUUGAUGGGGGCCCGCACAAGCGGAGGAACAUGUGGUUUAAUUCGAUGAUACGCGAGGAACCUUACCCGGGCUUAAAUUGCAGAUGAAUUACGGUGAAAGCCGUAAGCCGCAAGGCAUCUGUGAAGGUGCUGCAUGGUUGUCGUCAGCUCGUGCCGUGAGGUGUCGGCUUAAGUGCCAUAACGAGCGCAACCCUUGUUGUCAGUUACUAACAGGUUCCGCUGAGGACUCUGACAAGACUGCCAUCGUAAGAUGUGAGGAAGGUGGGGAUGACGUCAAAUCAGCACGGCCCUUACGUCCGGGGCUACACACGUGUUACAAUGGGGGGUACAGAGGGCCGCUACCACGCGAGUGGAUGCCAAUCCCAAAAACCUCUCUCAGUUCGGACUGGAGUCUGCAACCCGACUCCACGAAGCUGGAUUCGCUAGUAAUCGCGCAUCAGCCACGGCGCGGUGAAUACGUUCCCGGGCCU